rnacentral:rRNA from 1 species
CAGCAGCCGCGGGAAUACGAAGGGGGCUAGCGUUGCUCGGAAUUACUGGGCGUAAAGGGCGCGUAGGCGGACAGUUCAGUCGGGGGUGAAAGCCCGGGGCUCAACCUCGGAAUUGCCUUCGAUACUGGCUGUCUUGAGUAUGAGAGAGGUGUGUGGAACUCCGAGUGUAGAGGUGAAAUUCGUAGAUAUUCGGAAGAACACCAGUGGCGAAGGCGGCACACUGGCUCAUUACUGACGCUGAGGCGCGAAAGCGUGGGGAGCAAACAGGAUUAGAUACCCCAGUAGUCCCUGUCUCUUAUAC